rnacentral:rRNA from 1 species
AUGCACGCUGGCGGCGUGCCUAAUACAUGCCAGUCGCGCGAACAGACGAGGAGCUUGCUCCUCUGACGUUAGCGGCGGACGGGUGAGUAACACGUGGAUAACCUACCUAUAAGACUGGGAUAACUUCGGGAAACCGGAGCUAAUACCGGAUAAUAUAUUGAACCGCAUGGUUCAAUAGUGAAAGACGGUUUUGCUGUCACUUAUAGAUGGAUCCGCGCCGCAUUAGCUAGUUGGUAAGGUAACGGCUUACCAAGGCAACGAUGCGUAGCCGACCUGAGAGGGUGAUCGGCCACACUGGAACUGAGACACGGUCCAGACUCCUACGGGAGGCAGCAGUAGGGAAUCUUCCGCAAUGGGCGAAAGCUUGACGGAGCAACGCCGCGUGAGUGAUGAAGGUCUUCGGAUCGUAAAACUCUGUUAUUAGGGAAGAACAAAUGUGUAAGUAACUAUGCACGUCUUGACGGUACCUAAUCAGAAAGCCACGGCUAACUACGUG